rnacentral:rRNA from 1 species
GCCCAGACUCCUACGGGAGGCAGCAGUGGGGGAUAUUGCACAAUGGAGGGAACUCUGAUGCAGCGACGCCGCGUGAGGGAAGAAGGUUUUCGGAUUGUAAACCUCUGUCUUCGGUGACGAAACGAGACGGUAGCCGAGGAGGAAGCCACGGCUAACUACGUGCCAGCAGCCGCGGUAAUACGUAGGUGGCAAGCGUUGUCCGGAAUUACUGGGCGUAAAGGGCGCGUAGGUGGGCGCUUAAGUCAGGUGUGAAAACUCCGGGCUCAACCUGGAGACUGCACUUGAAACUGGGUGUCUUGAGGGCAGGAGAGGAAAGUGGAAUUCCUAGUGUAGCGGUGAAAUGCGUAGAUAUUAGGAGGAACACCAGUGGCGAAGGCGACUUUCUGGACUGUACCUGACGCUGAGGCGCGAAAGCGUGGGUAGCGAACGGGAUUAGAUACCCCAGUAGUC